rnacentral:rRNA from 1 species
CCCAAAAACCCCAAAUGGGGAACGGGCCACCCCAAAUGGUCCCCUUAGGACCUGGGGUAAAUGACUAAUGUUCUCUACUAGAAAGGAGAGGGCAAGGCUGGUGCCAGCCGCCGCGGUAAAACCAGCCCUUCAAGUGGUCGGGAUAAUUAUUGGGCUUAAAGUGUCCGUAGCUGGUAAGGUAAGUUCCUGGUAAAAUGGGGCAGCUUAACUGUCUUUAUGCUAGGAAUACUGCUUUACUAGAGGGCGGGAGAGGUUUGAGGUACUACAGGGGUAGGGGUGAAAUCUUAUAAUCCUUGUAGGACCACCAGUGGCGAAAGCGUCAGACUGGAACGCGCCUGACAGUGAGGGACGAAAGCCAGGGGAGCGAACCGGAUUAGAUACCCGGGUAGUCCUGGCCGUAAACGAUGCACACUAGAUGAUGGUGCGGCCAUGAGCCGUAUCAGUGUCGUAGGGAAACCGUUAAGUGUGCCGCCUGGGAAGUACGGUCGCAAGGCUUAAACUUAAAGGAAUUGGCGGGGGA